rnacentral:rRNA from 1 species
UACGAACUGCGCAAACGUUAUUCGGAAUCACUGGGCUUACAGGGUGCGUAGGCGGCGCGGUAAGUCGGGUGUGAAAUCUCGGAGCUUAACUCCGAAACUGCAUUCGAUACUGCCGUGCUUGAGGACUGGAGAGGAGACUGGAAUUUACGGUGUAGCGGUGAAAUGCGUAGAUAUCGUAAGGAAGACCAGUGGCGAAGGCGGGUCUCUGGACAGUUCCUGACGCUGAGGCACGAAGGCCAGGGGAGCAAACGGG